AUUGAACGCUGGCGGCAGGCUUAACACAUGCAAGUCGAGCGGGGUGAUGGUGCUUGCACUAUCACUUAGCGGCGGACGGGUGAGUAAUGCUUAGGAAUCUGCCUAUUAGUGGGGGACAACAUCUCGAAAGGGAUGCUAAUACCGCAUACGUCCUACGGGAGAAAGCAGGGGAUCACUUGUGACCUUGCGCUAAUAGAUGAGCCUAAGUCGGAUUAGCUAGUUGGUGGGGUAAAGGCCUACCAAGGCGACGAUCUGUAGCGGGUCUGAGAGGAUGAUCCGCCACACUGGGACUGAGACACGGCCCAGACUCCUACGGGAGGCAGCAGUGGGGAAUAUUGGACAAUGGGGGGAACCCUGAUCCAGCCAUGCCGCGUGUGUGAAGAAGGCCUUAUGGUUGUAAAGCACUUUAAGCGAGGAGGAGGCUCUUUUGGUUAAUACCCAAGAUGAGUGGACGUUACUCGCAGAAGAAGCCCCGGCUAACUUCGUGCCAGCAGCCGCGUAA
rnacentral:rRNA from 1 species